rnacentral:rRNA from 1 species
AUUGAACGCUGGCGGCAGGCCUAACACAUGCAAGUCGAACGAGUGGCGGACGGGUGAGUAAUGUCUGGGCAACUUCCCGUUGGAGGGGGAUAACCACUGGAAACGGUAUCUUAUUCCCCAUACUCUACGUUUUGCCCAUAUCGGAAUAGCUAGUAGGGGGGGUAAAGGCUCACAUAGGCGACGAUCCCUCGCUGGUCUGAGAGGAUGACGAGCAAAACUGGACUUAGGAAACGCGCAGAACCCCUAGGGAAGGAAGCGUUGGGGAAUAUUGCACAAUGGGCGCAAGCCUGAUGAAGCAAGGCCGGGUGUAUGAAGAAGGCCGUCGGGUUGUAAGGUACUUUCAGCGGGGCGGCGUUACCCGCAGAAGAAGCAACGGCUAACUACGUGCCAGCAGCCGCGGUAAUUC